CACCUCCCCACUAACCCAACCUCCUUCCACCCACGCAGUCCCAUGGCGAGCGCGGCGCAGGAGCUCGACGUCCAGGACCUCCGCCUGCAGGAGCUCAUCCGGGGCUCCAUGCCGGACCGGCCGCCGUCCUCGUCGUCGUCCCGCGUGCCGCCGCUCAGCGACGACGAGAUCGGCCGGUUCCACUGCGCGGUCUGCAUGGAGCCCAAGCUGGUGUUCGACCGGUUCCGCGCCACGCCGGCCUGCGCGCACGACUUCUGCGUCGCCUGCGUCGUGGCCCACAUCGAGGCCCGCGUCGUGGACGGCGCCGUGCCCGUGCCCUGCCCGGCGGCCGGGGCCGGCUGCCCCGGCGCCAUGCACCCGGAGGCCUGCAAGAAGCUGCUCCACAUGGACGUAUUCGACGCCUGGUGCGUCGCGCUCUGCGAGCGCGCCGUCGGGCCGGCCCGCGCGCGCUGCCCCUACCGGGACUGCGGCGAGCUCGUGGUGCUCGACGCCGGCUGCGGCGCCGCCGUCGGCGAGGUGCCUGAGGAGGCGACCUGCCCCGGCUGCUCGCGCGCCUUCUGCUUGCUGUGCGAGGAGCCCUGGGACGACCGCCACGACGGCGGCCAGGGGUGCGCGCUCGACCGGCUCGCCGUGGGGCGCAGCUGGAUGCGCUGCCCGAGCUGCCGCGCCAUGAUCGACCGGAUCGACGGCUGCAAAACCAUGCUGUGCAGGUGUGGCUCCGUCUUCUGCUACGGCUGCGGCUCGUCUCGGGCAGAGGGGAUGUGCAGAUGCUAUGCUUCGCGACGGGAGGAUUUCAUACCACUCGACGCCGGCUUUGAGCUCGUCGGGGCCGGGCCAAGCACUGGCCUUUCCUCGACUCUCGGCAAGGAUGCGGUCAUGUAAAUGCUUUUCAGUCGACGGGUGUUGAACUGAUCGAGUUAAUAGUGCUGAACUCUUGAGUGAGGAAGCCAAACAGAAGACUACAGUGGAGGUUUACCAGAUGCAUAAAAACACGGCGCCCAACCCGGCGGCCCCACAUGCAGCAGCCCGUGCAGAUAAGCCGGCGCCACAAAUUUGCCGCUCCACAGCCCGUGUGCAUUAAAUUUACAGCUUCGUUUUUGUGCGUGCGCUAUUUUACAGCUUCUGUUGAAGUGUUGUUUUUGGGCGCAGGCACCAAAAAGCUAUGUUUUUUGCGUGCGCGUUUUAUUUGACGCGUCUGUUGGAGAUGCUCUUCUUGGCAACUUUCAGAGAUGAAAAAGAUGAACACUUUCCGGCAAGAAAAAAAUAGAAAAUAGAAAAAAGAAUAGAAAGAUGAACACUGCCGUAUGGCAUUCCCCCACUGGAACAGGUUUUUUUUAGCAAACACCACUAUAACAGUUUUUUUAGGGGUCCCACUGGAACAGGUGCAGAAAGGAGAGAAGUUCAUCUUCUCGGGCCUUUCCAGCCCAUUUGCUGAUUUAUCUACAAGCAAAUGAGGCCCAGGCGCUCAGGC